UGGGGAAUAUUGCACAAUGGGCGCAAGCCUGAUGCAGCGACGCCGCGUGGGGGAUGACGGCCUUCGGGUUGUAAACUCCUUUCGCCAGGGACGAAGCGUUUUGUGACGGUACCUGGAGAAGAAGCACCGGCUAACUACGUGCCAGCAGCCGCGGUAAUACGUAGGGUGCAAGCGUUGUCCGGAAUUACUGGGCGUAAAGAGCUCGUAGGUGGUUUGUCACGUCGUCUGUGAAAUUCCACAGCUUAACUGUGGGCGUGCAGGCGAUACGGGCUGACUUGAGUACUGUAGGGGUAACUGGAAUUCCUGGUGUAGCGGUGAAAUGCGCAGAUAUCAGGAGGAACACCGAUGGCGAAGGCAGGUUACUGGGCAGUUACUGACGCUGAGGAGCGAAAGCAUGGGUAGCAAACAGGAUUAGAUACCCUGGUAGUCCAUGCCGUAAACGGUGGGCGCUAGGUGUAGGGGCCCUUUGGGGUUUCUGUGCCGUAGCUAACGCAUUAAGCGCCCCGCCUGGGGAGUACGGCCGCAAGGCUA
rnacentral:rRNA from 1 species